CCUACGGGAGGCAGCAGUGGGGAAUUUUGGACAAUGGGCGAAAGCCUGAUCCAGCAAUGCCGCGUGUGUGAAGAAGGCCUUCGGGUUGUAAAGCACUUUUGUCCGGAAAGAAAUCCCUGGCUCUAAUACAGUUGGGGGAUGACGGUACCGGAAGAAUAAGCACCGGCUAACUACGUGCCAGCAGCCGCGGUAAUACGUAGGGUGCAAGCGUUAAUCGGAAUUACUGGGCGUAAAGCGUGCGCAGGCGGUCUGUUAAGACAGAUGUGAAAUCCCCGGGCUCAACCUGGGAACUGCAUUUGUGACUGGCAGGCUAGAGUAUGGCAGANGGGGGUAGAAUUCCACGUGUAGCAGUGAAAUGCGUAGAGAUGUGGAGGAAUACCGAUGGCGAAGGCAGCCCCCUGGGCCAAUACUGACGCUCAUGCACGAAAGCGUGGGGAGCAAACAGGAUUAGAUACCCUGGUAGUCCACGCCCUAAACGAUGUCAACUAGUUGUUGGGGAUUCAUUUCCUUAGUAACGUAGCUAACGCGUGAAGUUGACCGCCUGGGGAGUACGGUCGCAAGAUUAAAACUCAAAGGAAUUGACGGGGACCCGCACAAGCGGUGGAUGAUGUGGAUUAAUUCGA
rnacentral:rRNA from 1 species